rnacentral:rRNA from 1 species
GAUGAACGCUGACAGAAUGCUUAACACAUGCAAGUCAACUUGAACUUCGGUUUGGGUGGCGGACGGGUGAGUAACGCGUAAAGAACUUGCCUCACAGAUAGGGACAACAUUUGGAAACGAAUGCUAAUACCUGAUAUUAUGAUUUUAGGGCAUCCUAGGAUUAUGAAAGCUAUAUGCGCUGUGAGAGAGCUUUGCGUCCCAUUAGCUAGUUGGAGAGGUAACGGCUCACCAAGGCGAUGAUGGGUAGCCGGCCUGAGAGGGUGAUCGGCCACAAGGGGACUGAGACACGGCCCUUACUCCUACGGGAGGCAGCAGUGGGGAAUAUUGGACAAUGGACCAAGAGUCUGAUCCAGCAAUUCUGUGUGCACGAUGAAGUUUUUCGGAAUGUAAAGUGCUUUCAGUUGGGAAGAAAAAAAUGACGGUACCAACAGAAGAAGUGACGGCUAAAUACGUGCCAGCAGCCGCGGUAAUACGUAUGUCACAAGCGUUAUCCGGAUUUAUUGGGCGUAAAGCGCGUCUAGGUGGUUAUGUAAGUCUGAUGUGAAAAUGCAGGGCUCAACUCUGUAUUGCGUUGGAAACUGUAUAACUAGAGUACUGGAGAGGUAAGCGGAACUACAAGUGUAGAGGUGAAAUUCGUAGAUAUUUGUAGGAAUGCCGAUGGGGAAGCCAGCUUACUGGACAGAUACUGACGCUGAAGCGCGAAAGCGUGGGUAGCACACAGG